rnacentral:rRNA from 1 species
UAAAUAUAUGGAGGAACACCAUGAGCGAAGGCGGCUUGCUGGGUCUUAACUGACGCUGAGGCACGAAAGCGUGGGGAGCAAACAGGAUUAGAUACCCUGGUAGUCCACGCCGUAAACGAUGAGUACUAGACGUUGGGUUAAACCAGUGUCGAAGUUAACACAUUAAGUACUCCGCCUGAGUAGUACGUACGCAAGUAUGAAACUUAAAGGAAUUGACGGGACUCCGCACAAGCGGUGGAUCAUGUUGUUUAAUUCGAAGGUACCCGAAAAACCUCACCAGGUCUUGACAUGUUUCUGCAAAGCUGUAGAAAUACAGCGGAGGUUAUCAGUUGCACAGGUGGUGCAUGGUUGUCGUCAGCUCGUGUCGUGAGAUGUUGGGUUAAGUCCCGCAACGAGCGCAACCCUUGUUGUUAAUUGCCAUCAUUAAGUUGGGGACUUUAGCAAGACUGCCAGUGAUAAAUUGGAGGAAGGUGGGGACGACGUCAAAUCAUCAUGCCCCUUAUGACCUGGGCUACAAACGUGAUACAAUGGCUGUUACAAAGGGUAGCUGAAGCGCAAGCUUUUGGCAAAUCUCAAAAAAACAGUCUCAGUUCGGAUUGAAGUCUGCAACUCGACUUCAUGAAGUUGGAAUCGCUAGUAAUCGCGAAUCAGCAUGUCGCGGUGAAUACGUUCUCGGGGUUUGUACACACCGCCCGUCAAACCACGAAGGUUGGCAAUACCCAAAGCCGGUGGCCUAACUUGAGCAAUCAAGAGGGAUCCGUCUAAGGUAGGGUCGAUGAUUGGGGUUAAGUCGUAACAAGGUAUCCCUACCGGAAGGUGGGGAUGGAUCACCUCCUU